rnacentral:rRNA from 1 species
AAAUUGAAGAGUUUGAUCAUGGCUCAGAUUGAACGCUGGCGGCAGGCCUAACACAUGCAAGUCGAACGGUAGCACAGAGAGCUUGCUCUCGGGUGACGAGUGGCGGACGGGUGAGUAAUGUCUGGGAAACUGCCUGAUGGAGGGGGAUAACUACUGGAAACGGUAGCUAAUACCGCRUAACGUCGCAAGACCAAAGAGGGGGACCUUCGGGCCUCUUGCCAUCAGAUGUGCCCAGAUGGGAUUAGCUAGUAGGUGGGGUAACGGCUCACCUAGGCGACGAUCCCUAGCUGGUCUGAGAGGAUGACCAGCCACACUGGAACUGAGACACGGUCCAGACUCCUACGGGAGGCAGCAGUGGGGAAUAUUGCACAAUGGGCGCAAGCCUGAUGCAGCCAUGCCGCGUGUAUGAAGAAGGCCUUCGGGUUGUAAAGUACUUUCAGCGGGGAGGAAGGUGUUGUGGUUAAUAACCACAGCAA